rnacentral:rRNA from 1 species
GACUAUACAUGCAGUUGAGCGCUGGAAGUUGGAACUUGUACCGACUGGAUGAGCAGCGAACGGGUGAGUAACGCGUGGGGAAUCUGCCUUUGAGCGGGGGACAACAUUUGGAAACGAAUGCUAAUACCGCAUAAAAACUUUAAACACAAGUUUUAAGUUUGAAAGAUGCAAUUGCAUCACUCAAAGAUGAUCCCGCGUUGUAUUAUCUAGUUGGUGAGGUAAAGGCUCACCAAGGCGAUGAUACAUAGCCGACCUGAGAGGAGGAUCGGCCACCUUGGUGACUGAGACACGGCCCAAACUCCUACGGGAGGCAGCAGUAGGGAAUCUUCUUCAAUGGACGAAAGUCUGACCGAGCAACGCCGCGUGAGUGAAGAAGGUUUUCGGAUCGUAAAACUCUGUUGGUAGAGAAGAACAAUGGUGAGAGUGGAAAGCUCAUCAAGUGACGGUAACUACCCAGAAAGGGACGGCUAACUACGUGCCAGCAGCCGCGGUAAUACGUAGGUCCCGAGCGUUGUCCGGAUUUAUUGGGCGUAAAGCGAGCGCAGGUGGUUUAUUAAUUCUGGUGUAGAAGGCAGCGGCUCAUCCAUUGUAUGCAUUGGAAACUGGUAGACUUGAGUGCAGGAGAGGAGAGAGGAAUUCCAUGUGUAGCGGUGAAAUGCGUAGAUAUAUGGAGGAACCCCGGUGGCGAAAGCGGCUCUCUGUCCUGUAACUGACACUGAGGCUCGAAAGCGUGGGGAGCAAACAGGAUUAGAUACCCUGGUAGUCCACGCCGUAAACGAUGAGUGCUAGAUGUAGGGAGCUAUAAGUUCUCUGUAUCGCAGCUAACGCAAUAAGCACUCCCCCUGGGGAGUCCGCCCGCAAGGUUGAAACUCAAAGGAAUUGCCGGGGGCCCCCCCAAGCGGUGGAGCAUGUGGUUUAAUUGGAAGCAACGCGAAGACCCUUACCAGGUCUUGCCAUAUUCGUGCUAUUCCUAGAGAUAGGAAGUUCCUUCGGGACACGGGAUCCAGGUGGUGCAUGGUUGUCGUCAGCUCGUGUCGUGAGAUGUUGGGUUAAGUCCCCCACCGAGCGCAACCCCUAUUGUUAGUUGCCAUCAUUAAGUUGGCCAUUUUAACGAGACUGCCGGUGAUAACCCGGAGGAAGGUGGGGAUGACGUCAAAUCAUCAUGCCCCUUAUGACCUGGGCUACACACGUGCUACAAUGGAUGGUACAACGAGUCGCGAGACAGUGAUGUUUAGCUAAUCUCUUAAAACCAUUCUCAGUUCGGAUUGUAGGCUGCAACUCGCCUACAUGAAGUCGGAAUCGCUAGUAAUCGCGGAUCAGCACGCCGCGGUGAAUACGUUCCCGGGCCUUGUACACACCGCCCGUCACACCACGGGAGUUGGUGAGCUACCCGAAGUAGGUUGCGCGUAACCGCAAGGAGG